rnacentral:pre_miRNA from 1 species
UAGGGUGACCAACUGUCCCAGUUUGCCUGGAACUGGGGGGUUUCCUGGAACACAGAACUUGAGUGCAAACACCUGGGAUAGUCCUAGGCAAGUCAGGACAGCUGGUCACCCCAUUUCUAG